AUUGAACGCUGGCGGCAUGCCUUACACAUGCAAGUCGAACGGUAACGGGCCUUCGGGUGCCGACGAGUGGCGAACGGGUGAGUAAUGUAUCGGAACGUACCUUUCAGUGGGGGAUAACGUAGCGAAAGUUACGCUAAUACCGCAUAUUCUGUGCGCAGGCAAGCAGGGGAUCGCAAGACCUUGCGCUGAUUGAGCGGCCGAUAUCAGAUUAGCAAGUUGGUGAGGAAAAGGCUGACCAAGGCGACGAUCGGUAGCGGGUCUGGGAGGAUGAUCCGCCACACUGGAACUGUGACACGGUCCAGACUCCUACGGGAGGCAGCAGUGGGGAAUUUUGGACAAUGGGGGCAACCCUGAUCCAGCCAUGCCGCGUGAGUGAAGAAGGCCUUCGGGUUGUAAAGCUCUUUCGGCCGGGAAGAAAUCGUAUGGGCUAAUACCCUGUGCGGAUGACGGUACCGGCAUGAGAAGCACCGGCUAACUACGUGCCAGCAGCCGCCGUAAUAC
rnacentral:rRNA from 1 species